AGUGAACCAAACAAUAUAGAUUUUCAUACAAAUGAUGUAUCUAUGUCACAUGAGCACAGUCCGGGAGGUGAGGCUAUAUCUAUCCUCAGUUUGCUGAUCUAUGAACAUCUGAAUUAUUAGUAACCUAACACU
rfam:Mus musculus chromosome 3, GRC primary reference assembly.